rnacentral:rRNA from 1 species
CUCCAUGAUUCAGCGGCGGACGGGUGAGUAAUGCCUAGGAAUCUGCCUAUUAGUGGGGGACAACGUUUCGAAAGGAACGCUAAUACCGCAUACGUCCUACGGGAGAAAGCAGGGGACCUUCGGGCCUUGCGCUAAUAGAUGAGCCUAGGUCGGAUUAGCUAGUUGGUGAGGUAAUGGCUCACCAAGGCGACGAUCCGUAACUGGUCUGAGAGGAUGAUCAGUCACACUGGAACUGAGACACGGUCCAGACUCCUACGGGAGGCAGCAGUGGGGAAUAUUGGACAAUGGGCGAAAGCCUGAUCCAGCCAUGCCGCGUGUGUGAAGAAGGUCUUCGGAUUGUAAAGCACUUUAAGUUGGGAGGAAGGGCAUUAACCUAAUACGUUAGUGUUUUGACGUUACCGACAGAAUAAGCACCGGCUAACUUCGUGCCAGCAGCCGCGGUAAUACGAAGGGUGCAAGCGUUAAUCGGAAUUACUGGGCGUAAAGCGCGCGUAGGUGGUUUGUUAAGUUGGAUGUGAAAGCCCCGGGCUCAACCUGGGAACUGCAUCCAAAACUGGCAAGCUAGAGUAUGGCAGAGGGUGGUGGAAUUUCCUGUGUAGC